AAGGGCUUAUUUUGAAUUACAUGUAUUUUGGACUUUAUGGGUAUGCAAGACGUUGUUGACAGGCAUUCAACAAAACAAUUAAUUAAAUCAACUAAUGUAGCUUAUUCGGAGGGGGGGGGGGGGGGUCCUGAACCCAAGCACCAUCAUCAAAGAUGUGCAUGUGGUAUAUCUUACGAAUAAAUAGGUUGAUGCCUUCCUGGCAAGCAGUUAAUUACACUAAUGCGAAGGGGAGAUGUGAAAAUUUUUUUUUUUUCGAAAUUCCCGACUCAACCAAGUCAUUUGAAAAGAAAAGACCAGUAAACUGUUGAUCCAUCAUUUGCGUAAUGACCAGUUGAGGUUCAAGAUAUUUGUAUGAAGAACGUUUACCGUCUACCUUGUCUGCGGGCAGCGACUCGACUGAACGCGUCUUCUUUUCUCAAUUACUUCUUGCGAAAGAACGGGCUCAAAUCUAUGCAGCUCCGAACUUAAAGGUCAACUGAAACGAUUUUCAAAGUUCGUUUUUCAAAUAAAUUCCGUAAGAAAAUACCAUUCCUUAAAUGUUUUCACAUAAGAAUAAUUUUUGUUUCGAUCAUCCAGGUAGAUACGACAUCGUUAAUUUCAACCCGGUAAAUUUUAUUGUAUGAGUUAUCUGCCCUUUAGGCGAACCUGAUAUUUCAAUAUGGCGGCACGAUAUGAAAAUCAUUCGGAAGAUUGUAUUCCUGAAAUAGAUAUAUCGCUUAGUGUUAAUGUGCAGCCCUGCCAAUACGAACCAGUUGUACAACGAGACGCAUCCCCACUAGUGGAAAACGAUAGUUAUUCAGAAAACAGCGAGGAUCAAUCGGACGAAUGCCCUUCACCUGUUCACCAUCUGAUAUGCGAGGUCGAUAUGCAAUGGUUUGUUAAUUUAGGCUAAUUAUUUAUAUGAGACUUUUAAUGAAAACGAAACGAUUACUCAAAGCUCAGAAGUGCAUCAGCAUGUAUUUCUAAGACUAGUUUUCUAUUAUUCUAACAGGUGAUCAUAUAGGCUAGUAAUGUCAUCGCAAUGCCCUCAAGAAGGGAGUCCAAAUGUUGCAGUGCAUAGGAUUGAAGAAGUGGGCGUGUCCUGCAUCACAGAUCACGAAGGUUUUGUUGUGGCAAACUGUCUCAACAGAUUGGUUAUAGGAACAGCUUAUUAUGAAUGCAUACAAAAUAUUGGUCCCUUGGAGGAGGGGGAAUUGAUUCACAAAUUUUACAGACAUCAUGCAUAUUGGAGAUCUGGUAGUAGCUUGGGAAAAACAAUUGGAAAGUUCUUCUAUCCUGCGUUGUGACUAUGAUAAGAAAUCAUUCCAUCACAACAGUACUGUGGAUUUAAAUACCCUUUGGUAUUAAUUUAAAUGUGUGAUAAAUUCUUAAUGCAUUUUUCAUAAGUGAUAUAAAUAAAUAUAAACAAGUAAACAUA